rnacentral:rRNA from 1 species
AUCUAUGGCCAUGCUACCCUAAACAAAUCCGAUCCCAUCUGAUCUCGGAAGCUAAGCACAGUAGGGCCUGCUUAGUACUUGGAUGGGAGACCACCUAGGAAGACCAGAUGCUGUAGGCA